AUAUUGGUCAAUGGGCGCAAGCCUGAACCAGCCAUGCCGCGUGAGUGAAGAAGGCCCUAGGGUUGUAAAGCUCUUUCAGCGGGGACGAUAAUGACGGUACCCGCAGAAGACGCCCCGGCUAACUUCGUGCCAGCAGCCGCGGUAAUACGAAGGGGGCUAGCGUUGUUCGGAAUUACUGGGCGUAAAGCGCGCGUAGGCGGACGCUUAAGUCAGGGGUGAAAGGCCGGGGCUCAACCCCGGAACGGCCCUUGAUACUGGGCGUCUGGAGUCCGGAAGAGGUUGGUGGAAUGCCGAGUGUAGAGGUGAAAUUCGUAGAUAUUCGGAGGAACACCAGAGGCGAAGGCGGCCAACUGGUCCGGUACUGACGCUGAGGCGCGAAAGCGUGGGGAGCAAAC
rnacentral:rRNA from 1 species